CGCGCUGGACCGUGCAUAAGUCUCCUGGAAUGGAGCGUCAUAGAGGGUGAGAAUCCCGUCUUUGGCACGGAAAUCCCAGGGCUUUUGUGAUGCGCUCUCGAAGAGUCGAGUUGUUUGGGAAUGCAGCUCAAAAUGGGUGGUGAACUCCAUCUAAAGCUAAAUAUUGGCGAGAGACCGAUAGCGAACAAGUACCGUGAGGGAAAGAUGAAAAGCACUUUGGAAAGAGAGUGAAACAGUACGUGAAAUUGUUGAAAGGGAAACGCUUAAAGUCAGUCGCGUCGACCGAGACUCAGCCUUGCCUAGGCUUGGUGUACUUCUCGGCCGACGGGUCAGCAUCAAUUUUGAUCCUCGGAUAAUGGCGAGGGAAAGGUAGCACCUUUACGGGUGUGUUAUAGUCCCAUGUCGCAUGCGGGGGUCGGGAUUGAGGAACUCAGCAUGCACCCCUCGGUGUCAGGGCCUUUUGGCCCAUGUUACGUGCUUAGGAUGCUGGCAUAAUGGCUUUAAACGACCCGUCUUGAAACACGGACCAAGGAGUCUAACAUACCCGCGAGUGUUUGGGUGGAAAACCCAUGCGCGUAAUGAAAGUAAAAGUUGGGACCUCUGUCGUGGAGGGCACCGACGCCUGGACCAGACCUUCUGUGACGGCUCUGCGGUAGAGCGUGUAUGUUGGGACCCGAAAGAUGGUGAACUAUGCCUGAAUAGGGUGAAG
rnacentral:rRNA from 1 species